GAUUGAACGCUGGCGGCAUGCCUUACACAUGCAAGUCGAACGGCAGCACGGGUGCUUGCACCUGGUGGCGAGUGGCGAACGGGUGAGUAAUACAUCGGAACAUGUCCUGUAGUGGGGGAUAGCCCGGCGAAAGCCGGAUUAAUACCGCAUACGAUCUACGGAUGAAAGCGGGGGACCUUCGGGCCUCGCGCUAUAGGGUUGGCCGAUGGCUGAUUAGCUAGUUGGUGGGGUAAAGGCCUACCAAGGCGACGAUCAGUAGAUGGUCUGAGAGGACGACCAGCCACACUGGGACUGAGACACGGCCCAGACUCCUACGGGAGGCAGCAGUGGGGAAUUUUGGACAAUGGGCGAAAGCCUGAUCCAGCAAUGCCGCGUGUGUGAAGAAGGCCUUCGGGUUGUAAAGCACUUUUGUCCGGAAAGAAAUCCUUGGCUCUAAUACAGUCGGGGGAUGACGGUACCGGAAGAAUAAGCACCGGCUAACUACGUG
rnacentral:rRNA from 1 species